GACGAACGCUGGCGGCGUGCUUAACACAUGCAAGUCGAACGGGAAGGCCCUGCUUUUGUGGGGUGCUCGAGUGGCGAACGGGUGAGUAACACGUGAGUAACCUGCCCUUGACUUUGGGAUAACUUCAGGAAACUGGGGCUAAUACCGGAUAGGAGCUCCUGCUGCAUGGUGGGGGUUGGAAAGUUUCGGCGGUUGGGGAUGGACUCGCGGCUUAUCAGCUUGUUGGUGGGGUAGUGGCUUACCAAGGCUUUGACGGGUAGCCGGCCUGAGAGGGUGACCGGCCACAUUGGGACUGAGAUACGGCCCAGACUCCUACGGGAGGCAGCAGUGGGGAAUAUUGCACAAUGGGCGGAAGCCUGAUGCAGCAACGCCGCGUGCGGGAUGACGGCCUUCGGGGUGUAAACCGCUUUCGCCUGUGACGAAGCGUGAGUGACGGUAAUGGGUAAAGAAGCACCGGCUAACUACGUG
rnacentral:rRNA from 1 species